rnacentral:rRNA from 1 species
CCUACGGGUGGCAGCAGUGGGGAAUAUUGGACAAUGGGGGCAACCCUGAUCCAGCCAUGCCGCGUGUGUGAAGAAGGCCCUCGGGUUGUAAAGCACUUUCAGUGAGGAAGAACGCCUGGUGGUUAAUACCCAUCAGGAAAGACAUCACUCACAGAAGAAGCACCGGCUAACUCCGUGCCAGCAGCCGCGGUAAUACGGAGGGUGCGAGCGUUAAUCGGAAUUACUGGGCGUAAAGCGCGCGUAGGUGGCUUGAUAAGCCGGUUGUGAAAGCCCCGGGCUCAACCUGGGAACGGCAUCCGGAACUGUCAAGCUAGAGUGCAGGAGAGGAAGGUAGAAUUCCCGGUGUAGCGGGGAAAUGCGUAGAGAUCGGGAGGAAUACCAGUGGCGAAGGCGGCCUUCUGGACUGACACUGACACUGAGGUGCGAAAGCGUGGGUAGCAAACAGGAUUAGAUACCCUUGUAGUC